AUACAGAGGGUGCGAGCGUUAAUCGGAAUUACUGGGCGUAAAGCGCGCGUAGGCGGCUUGGUCAGUCGGAUGUGAAAGCCCCGGGCUUAACCUGGGAAUUGCAUUCGAUACUGCCAGGCUAGAAUGUAGUAGAGGGAAGUGGAAUUCCGGGUGUAGCGGUGAAAUGCGUAGAUAUCCGGAGGAACAUCAGUGGCGAAGGCGACUUCCUGGACUAACAUUGACGCUGAGGUGCGAAAGCGUGAGGAGCAAACAGGAUUAGAAACCCCAGUAGUCC
rnacentral:rRNA from 1 species